rnacentral:rRNA from 1 species
AAAGAUACCCCGGUAGUCCACGCCGUAAACGAUGAGUGCUAAGUGUUAGGGGGUUUCCGCCCCUUAGUGCUGCAGCUAACGCAUUAAGCACUCCGCCUGGGGAGUACGGUCGCAAGACUGAAACUCAAAGGAAUUGACGGGGGCCCGCACAAGCGGUGGAGCAUGUGGUUUAAUUCGAAGCAACGCGAAGAACCUUACCAGGUCUUGACAUCCCGCUGACCGCUAUGGAGACAUAGCUUUCCCUUCGGGGACAGCGGUGACAGGUGGUGCAUGGUUGUCGUCAGCUCGUGUCGUGAGAUGUUGGGUUAAGUCCCGCAACGAGCGCAACCCUUGUCCUUAGUUGCCAUCAUUCAGUUGGGCACUCUAAGGAGACUGCCGUACAAAUACGGAGGAAGGUGGGGAUGACGUCAAAUCAUCAUGCCCCUUAUGACCUGGGCUACACACGUGCUACAAUGGACGGUACAAACGGUUGCGAAGUCGCGAGACGGAGCCAAUCCGAGAAAGCCGUUCUCAGUUCGGAUUGCAGG